rnacentral:rRNA from 1 species
UACAGAGGGAGCGAGCGUUAUCCGGAAUGAUUGGGCGUAAAGCGUCUGUAGGUGGUUUAGAAAGUCUACUGUCAAAUACCAAGGCUCAACCUUGGGCAGGCAGUAGAGUACUUUUAGACUAGAGUGUGGUAGAGGUAGAGGGAAUCCCUAGCGUAACAGUGAAAUGUGUAGAUUUUAGGGAGAACACCAGUGCGGCAGGA